rnacentral:rRNA from 1 species
GAUGAACGCUAGCGGCAGGCCUAACACAUGCAAGUCGAGGGAGGAGCCUUCGGGCUUCGACCGUCGUCCGGUUGCGUACCGCGUAUACAAUCUUCCUUUCACAUCGGGUUAGCCCGAAGUAAUUUGGAUUAAUACCUACUGGUAUAUAGAUGUGGCAUCACCUUUAUAUUAAAGCUGAGGCGGUGACAGAUGAGUAUGCGUUCUAUUAGCUAGUUGGAGAGGUAACGGCUCCCCAAGGCGACGAUAGCUAGGGGUUCUGAGAGGGAUAUCCCCCACAGUGGUACUGAGAUACGGAGCAGAGUCAUACGGGAGGCAGCAGUGAGGAAUACUGGAGUAUGGUAGGAAGACUGAUCCAGCGAUGCCGGGUGCAGGAAGACGGCGUGAUGGGUUGUAAACUGCUGUUGGAGGGGAAGAAUAAGGACUACGCGUAGUUGGAUGACGGUACUCGGCGAAGAAGCAUCGGCUAACUCCGUG